AAAAUAAAAAAAGCGCCAGAGCUUAUGAUCUUAUAAGCUGACGAGGAACGGAGUUAUCGAAAAUUCGGCGGAUGCUCCGAAGGUGGUUACAACCUCAGUAACGUUACAAAUUCAAAGAGUGAUCUUUGGGACAAAAGACGUUUCAGUAGCAUUU
rnacentral:ncRNA from 2 species